rnacentral:rRNA from 1 species
AUGCCUGUACCAUAACCGACACAGGUGGGUAAGUAGAGUAUACUAAGGGGCGCGAGAUAACUCUCUCUAAGGAACUCGGCAAAAUAACUCCGUAACUUCGGGAGAAGGAGUGCCUUAUUCUUAAGGUUGCAAUAACAAGAUCCAAGCAACUGUUUAUCAAAAACACAGGUCUCCGCUAAGUCGUAAGACGAUGUAUGGGGGCUGACGCCUGCCCAGUGCCAGAAGGUUAAAGAAGUCGGUUAGCAAUAGCAAAGCUGGUAACUGAAGCCCUGGUGAACGGCGGCCGUAACAAUAACGGUCCUAAGGUAGCGAAAUUCCUUGUCGGGUAAGUUCCGACCCGCACGAAAGGCGUAAUGAUUUGGAUGCUGUCUCGGAGAGGGGCUCGGUGAAAUAGACUUGUCUGUGAAGAUGCGGACUACCUGCACCAGGACAGAAAGACCCUAUGAAGCUUUACUGUAACUUGAAAUUGAAAUUGGACUUUAUUCGCGCAGUAUAGGUGGGAGGCGUUGAUUAUAAUCUUGUGGGAUUAUUGGAGCCAUCAGUGAGAUAUCACUCUUGUAAUGUUAGAUUUCUAACUUUGAAUCAUUAUCUGGUCAAAGGACAGUUUCAGGCGGGCAGUUUGACUGGGGCGGUCGCCUCCUAAACGGUAACGGAGGCGUACAAAGGUUUCCUCUGAACGGUUAGAAAUCGUAUCUAGAGUGUAAAGGCAUAAGGAAGCUUGACUGUGAGACCUACAAGUCGAGCAGGGACGAAAGUCGGUCUUAGUGAUCUGACGGUACUGAGUGGAAAGGCCGUCACUCAACGGAUAAAAGUUACUCUAAGGAUAACAGGCUGAUCUCCCCCAAGAGUUCACAUCGACGGGGAGGUUUGGCACCUCGAUGUCGGCUCAUCGCAUCCUGGGGCGGUAGUACGUCCCAAGGGUUGGGCUGUUCGCCCAUGAAAGCGGUACGCGAGCUGGGUUCAGAACGUCGUGAGACAGUUCGGUCCAUAUCCGGUGUAGGCGCUAGAAUAUUGAGAGGAGCCUUCUUUAGUACGAGAGGACCGAGAGGGACAUACCUCUGGUGUACCAGUUAUCGUGCCAACGGUAAACGCUGGGUAGCUAUGUAUGGAGUGGAUAACCGCUGAAAGCAUCUAAGUGGGAAGCCCACCUCAAGAUAAGUAUUCUCAUCACGUAAGUGAGUAAGGUCACGGUAAGACUAACCGUUUGAUAGGCAUUAAGUGUAAGUACAGUAAUGUAUGUGCUGAGAUGUCCUAAUAGACCGAGGACUUG